rnacentral:rRNA from 1 species
ACAGGUGCUGCAUGGCUGUCGUCAGCUCGUGCUGUGAAGUGUUGGGUUAAGUCCCGCAACGAGCGCAACCCUUGUCCUUAGUUACCAGCACGUUAUGGUGGGCACUCUAAGGAGACUGCCGGUGACAAACCGGAGGAAGGUGGGGAUGACGUCAAGGUCAUCAUGGCCCUUACGGCCUGGGCUACACACGUGCUACAAUGGUCGGUACAAAGGGUUGCCAAGCCGCGAGGUGGAGCUAAUCCCAUAAAAACCGAUCGUAGUCCGGAUCGCGAGUCUGCAACUCCGACUGCGUGAAGUCGGAAUCGCUAGUAAUCGUGAAUCAGAAUGUCACGGUGAAUACGUUCCCGGGCCUU